rnacentral:rRNA from 1 species
UGAGGAAUAUUGGGCAAUGCCCGCAAGGGUGACCCAGCAACGCCGCGUGGAGGAUGAAUGUCGUAAGAUUGUAAACUCCUGUUAGAGGGGAAGAAUAGUACCGGUUGGACCGGUAUAUGACUGUACCCUCAGAGAAAGCCCCGGCUAACUACGUGCCAGCAGCCGCGGUAAUACGUAGGGGGCAAGCGUUGUCCGGAUUUACUGGGUGUAAAGGGCGCGCAGGCGGGAUAAAAGGUCAGUGGUGAAAUCCUACAGCUUAACUGUAGAACUGCCUUUGAUACUUUUAGUCUUGAGUUCGGGAGAGAGAGACGGAAUUCCAGGUGUAGUGGUGAAAUACGUAGAUAUCUGGAAGAACACCAGUUGCGAAGGCGGUCUCUUGGUCCGACACUGACGCUGAGGCGCGAAAGCGUGGGGAGCAAACA